UUGAACUCCUGGCCUCAAGGGAUCUUCCCCCCUUGGCCUUCCAAAGUGCUGGGAUUACAGGCUGAGCCAUGGCCCCUGGCCCUGAUCCACUUUUCUAAUAUAUGGCUUUUUAAUUUGAAAAACUGAUUUCCUUAUACACUGUGAAACAGCAUUUCUAUAGCUCCCUGGACUAUGCUAGUUCCCUCACCCAAUGUCUCCACUUCUAAAGUCCUCAGUUACUGUGAAACUCAUUUAUCUUUCUGCAACAUUAAUUUUGAGAAAGUUGAAGUGAGCAAAACUUCCUGGAAUCUGAAAAGAAGAUCCAUUGUCCCCGUACCAGGCUCACAAUCAGCCAAAGGGGGAAGUAGAUUUUCCUGUCUGUACAAAAGAAGGUAAUUAGAAUUUUGGUUGUAAUAAAUUAUCUAUAGUCUCCUCUUUGAAGCUGUUUUAGAGAAUGUUCCUGUAGGCCAGGGUCUUAGAAAGUUUCUUUUGAACGCCUUGACCAUAUUCAGGGCUCCUGGGCCCCUCAUCAUGAGAGAAGUAUUGCUAAAACGGCUUCUGACCAGCAGUAACUAAAUACCAGAGGAAGCCCCACCUCCAAAGCCUUAUGGCUUGUCUGCAGACAGCCAUGAAAUCUUAGUUUGGUGGAAAUGACAUCAGAUCUCUUCACUGUUAACUGUGCUUUGUGCCAUAGAAUAAAGUGAUUCAGUUGUUCAAUUAUUAUAAAAAGUCACUUGCUGGCCAGGCGCGGUGCCUCACGCCUGUAAUCCCAGCACUUUGGUAGGCCGAGGAGGGUAGAUCACCUGAGGUCAGGAGUUCAAGACCAGCCUGGUCAACAUGGUGAAACGCCAUCUCUACUAAAAAUACAAAAAUUAGCCGGGCGUGGCAGUGCAUGCCUGUAGUCCCACCUCCUCAGGAGACUGAGGCAGGAGAAUUGCUGGAACCCGGGAGGCGAAGACUGCAGUGAGCCGAGAUCGCGCCACUGCCCUCCAGCCUGGGCGACAGAGCGAGACUCUCAAAAAAAAAAAAAAAAGUAACUUGGUGCUUAUUAUGUGUCAAGUGCUAUAGAUGCCAAAAUGAGGAGAGGACAUGCUAUUGUCAAUUUUAGCCUAGCACUUAAAUAGCAGAUCUAGUAUCAGUGCUGGUCAGUCCAGGUCAGCAUAGAAGGCAGUCUGAGCUGAAAGCAGAUGGAGGAGGGAAAGCUGCUCAGGAAAUGGUAUUGAAAUCCCAAAGCAGUCCCUAUGGGUGGUAGGGAGGAGACAUUCUAGGAAGGGGGAACAUCAUGAGCACAAACUCAGAGGUGUGAUAGAACAUAGCACUGGAAUGGAAUGGCAAUCAAUCCAAUCAAGGAAAGAGGAGGGGCAGGUAGCAAAGGUGGGUUGAUGUCAGAUUACAAAGUCCAUGUGUAAUUAGACUAAUGAAUUCAUGCCCCUGAAGAAUAUUCCACAGAGAAGUGACAUGAUUUAUUUUGUUUUAUUUUUUUGAGACAGAGGCUGGAGUGCAAUGGCGCAAUCUCAGCUCACUGCAACCUCUGCCUCUCAGGUUCGAGUGAUUCUUGUGCCUCAGCCUCCCAAAUAGCUGGGAUUCAGGCGUGCACCGACAUGCCCAGCUAAUUUUUUGUAUUUUUAGUAGAUGGGAUUUCGCCAUGUUGGCUAGGCUGGAUUAAUUUGCAUUUUGGAAAGCAACUCUGGUUUCAGUGUACAAGAGAUUUGAACAGGAGAUUAACUAGGAAGCUAAAGUAAUAGUUAUGAAAGGUGAUGAGAGCCUGAAAUUAGGUCAGUGUCUAUGAGAACAAAGGGGAUGGAUUUCAGAAACGUUUCUAAAUCAUAAAUGACUGAACCAGAAGAACUGAAGCUGAUGUCAGAUUUCUCGCUUGGGUGAUGAGGAACAAGGCAGGAAGAGCAGCAAUGAGGAUAGAGGUGGAAGGGCAGCUCAGGAAUUUCCCUGGAGUUUUCCCAUCUUGAGACUUCGGUCUUGGAAGACAGAAUGGCUGUGACAUAAUGUGGACUUUUUACUUCCACCUCUAGGAAAGCGUUCUUUGGAACACCUUUGCUGAGUCUCUCUCUCCUCCGCUCAAGGAGGAAGAAGGCAUUUUCACACAAGGCUGGCCAGAUGGGAAGAAUCUUCAGCUUCAGCUUCAGCUUGGCCUCAUUCAUUUGAAAAUAAAAUGUUUACAUGAGGCCGCGCCUGUGUCCAGCUGAAAGUGGGUCCUUCAGAGCGUGUGGGGGAUUCUCUGCCGGCUUGAUGGGCUAGCUCCUCUAAGCCGGCUGCUGGAGACAUCACCGGCUGAGGGACUCCUGCAAACGUUCAUACAUGAUUUGAUCCUGAAAGGAGGGAGAACACAGAAUACAGAGACCGUCACUGCUUGUUUUGGGCUGAAUGGUGCCCCCCAAAAUUCACAUGCUGCAGUCCGCACCCGCAGGACCUCAGAAUGUGAUUGUAACUGGAGAGAGGGUCUUUAUAGAGGAGACUGGAUUAAAAUGAGGUCAUACAGGUAGACUCUUAUCCAAUAUGACUGCUCUCCUUACAAAAAGAGGGGAUUAGGGCACAGGAGGGAAGAGCAUGUGCGCAGAGGGAAAAGCACAUGCAGGCGCUGGGAGAAGACAGCCAUCAGUGAGGACAAAGGCUCCAGAAGAACCAAUCCUGCCCAACACUCUCCAGAACUGUGAGAAAAUAAAUUUUCCACUUUUUAAGCCACCCAGUCUGUGGUACUUUGUCAUAGUAGCUCCUGCUGACUAACUUACUGUUGAAGAGAGGUGAUAUUUUACCUUCCUGCAUCUAAAUCCUAAUCUAAAUCCUACACAUGCUCCUUUCCACAGGGGACUCCAUGACAUUCACAAUCGUUGACUCAAGUUUUCCUAAAAAAUCAGGUCAAGAGUCUUAUGUCUAUCUAAUUAGUGAAGAAAGCACAAUUCUAAACUACACUGAAUCCAGAUGGAAAGGAGGCAAAGGCAGAAGCUUCUUUUUUUGUUUUUUGAAACGGAGUCUCACUCUGUCGCCCAGGCUGGAAUGCAGCGGUGCAAUCUCGGCUCACUGCAAUCUCUGCCUCCUGGGUUCAAGGGAUUCCCCUGCCUCGGCCUCCUGAGUAGCUGGAACUACAGGUGCGCACCACUACGCCCGGCAAAUUUUUUGCAUUUUAGUAGAGAUGGGGUUUCACCAUGUUGGCCAGGAUGGUCUCAAACUCCUGACCUCAUGAUCCACCCGCCUCGGCCUCUCAAAGUGCUGGGAUUACAGGUGUGAGCCACUGCGCCAGGCCGGGAAAGUAGAAGCUUCUUACACUACAUUAACAUUCAUAAGAAACUGCCAGAAUGGGCCGGGCGCGGUGGCUCACACCUGUAAUCCCAGCACUUUGGGAGGCUGAGAUGGGUGGAUCACGAGGUCAGGAGAUCGAGACCAUCCUGGCUAACAUGGUGAAACCCUGUCUCUACAAAAAUACAAAAAAAUUAGCUGGGCAUGGUGGCGGGCGCCUGUAGUCCCAGCUACUCGGGAGGCUGAGGCAGGAGAAUGGUGUGAACCUGGGAGGCGGAGCUUGCAGUGAGCCGAGAUCGCGCCAUUGCGACAGAG
rnacentral:lncRNA from 1 species